rnacentral:rRNA from 1 species
UACGUAGGGGCAAGCGUUAUCCGGAAUCACUGGGCGUAAAGGGUGCGUAGGCGGCCUAGCAAGUCAGAGGUGAAAGGCAUUGGCUCAACCAAUGUAAGCCUUUGAAACUGUUAGGCUUGAGUGCAGGAGAGGUAAGUGGAAUUCCUAGUGUAGAGGUGAAAUUCGUAGAUAUUAGGAGGAACACCAGUGGCGAAGGCGACUUACUGGACUGUAACUGACGCUGAGGCACGAAAGCGUGGGGAGCGAACAGG